GGGCCGUUAGCUCAACUGGUAGAGCAACUGACUCUUAAUCAGUAGGUCCCGGGUUCGACUCCCUGACGGCCCACCA
rnacentral:tRNA from 6 species